rnacentral:lncRNA from 1 species
UAAGUUAUAGCUGGCCACGACCUUAUACAUAGUUGGCCACAAUCUCGUGUAUAGUCGGCAAAUACAACUAAGUAUGGCUUCAUUUCUAGUUAGUAUGUACAACUGUACUCUAGCUCACAUACAGAUGGCUCUAAUUGCCUAACAAAUUCUUCUAACGGUCUAACAAACUUUGUAACAGUCUCAUCAGCCUCUCUAUAAAUAGAAGGCCAGGGAUCCUCUAGAAGUAAGUUUACAAUUUCAAAAUUCGGAGGAGACUC